rnacentral:rRNA from 1 species
UACAGGGGGGGCAAGCGUUGUUCGGAAUUACUGGGCGUAAAGGGCUCGUAGGCGGCCGGCUAAGUCCGACGUGAAAUCCCCAGGCUUAACCUGGGAACUGCGUCGGAUACUGGCGGGCUUGAAUCCGGGAGAGGGAUGCGGAAUUCCAGGUGUAGCGGUGAAAUGCGUAGAUAUCUGGAGGAAUACCGGUGGCGAAGGCGGCAUCCUGGACCGAGAUUGACACUGAUGAGCGAAAGCUAGGGGAGCAAACGGG